UUUUGGUUUCAUAUUAUACCUAAUGAUGAACAGAGAGAUAUGUAAAUGAAAAUGUAAAUGAUGUAAAUAACUAAAUGUUCAGUUAUUCAGUUGUAUAUAGUUCAGUGUUAAAAGUUUUAAAUUACAGUGAAUUUCAUGUAUAACUAGAUUACUAUCACUUGGAAUUGUUGCUUGCCUUCGUGCAAGCCAUGUAUAUUGAAAUGUUAUCCUGGGAAUUGUUUAUUUCUUUAUACAUGUACUCGUUGUGGUUGAGCCUUGGGCGGACAGAGGAGGUUCUGUCUGUUCGGCGUCUGUGUACGGGCCCGGAUCGAUCAAAUUGGCGAUAAUGGGACGUGACAUACGCCCUUUCCUCGCGCCGCCGCGCCGCUCGCGUGUGAACCUGUACCCCCAAAAACAACAACACAGGGGUGAGACUAUUGUCCAUAGUCGUCAGUGGGUACAGCCACCCAAGUGAAAAGCUCAACCCACCAGGUCCAAAGGAGGCACUGCAACAUGUUAGUCCAACAGAUAUAUAUAUAUAUAUAUAUAACAUCAUGCAAUACAUGUUCAUGCCUCACAAAUAUGCAAAUUAUGCAACUCUUAGUCAUUCUUUACCAUUAGCCUUUCUUUAGAAUUUGCUAUUCUUUAUUAUUAGCCAUUCUUUACUCUUUAUUCUUUAUUCUUUAUUCUUUAUUCUUUAUUCUUUAUUCUUUGUUCUUUAUUCUUUGCUAAGGGCACUCGCGCCUUAGGCUCAUCAUACACAUUUGCCAUUCUUUAUAACAUUAACAAGUCUUUCUCAAUUAUCACUCUUUCCUAAGGUUACAUUUACCUUAGCCAACUAUGCCACUCGACUCGGUCUUGAGUCAAUUCAUAAUGAAUACAAGAUCCACUUUCCAAUUCAUGAUUCCUUUUUGUUCUUUGUUCUUUAAUCUCACGGCUAACCCGGGGGUUUCGCCACAUUAACUUGCUUCACAUUAAGUCCAUCAUCGCAGGAACUCACCAGCUAGGACCGUCCUUACGGGUCUACUCCAACCCGGAUGCCAAACUCCGGAGCGCAUCGCCCGAGGGGGAGCGACCGCCCUCGAGCACGGAACUCAUAGCAAGUAUGAUCAAUCCUUAACUCUAAGGAUAUGUAGUUGGAUCAUGGUUUUACACUAACUCUAGUGUUCUUUACAUCACUUUAUGUUGCCACUCUAGCAAUCAUUGUUCUUUACAUCUCUUUUACUUUUGCUAACUCUAGCAAUCACGUUUUUCACAUUCCUUUACUUUAAGCUAUCUUUAGCUUUCACAUUCUUUAACUUUACACGUUCUUUAUGCCACAUUACAUUACAUUGUCUUUAGCCAUUAUCAUUAUUCUUUACAUCACAUUGCUUUGCCUUGUCUCAAGCCAUUAUCAUUAGGUUCUCACAUUACAUCUCAUGCAUACACAUAGAUUAUUUAGAUUCUUAAUCAUUCUAAUAAGCACGUGUACUCACAUCAUGCAACAUUACAUUAUUAUCAUCACAUUGUUUUACAUUAUCUUUAGCCAUUAUCAUUGUUCUUUACAUCACAUUUAUUCUUUGAUGUCCCACACUAACUCUAGUGUCCACUUUACCAUUUCGAAUGCCACUCGAUCUAUGUUCAACAUGCAUAUAUUUUGUCAUCCAUUGGUAGUCAUUACUUAGCAUUUUAUGCAUUCGUUAACAUUUACUACAUGCAUUCUCGGUUAGUACAAAUCUCAUACUUUCAUUUGACAUCUAUUUAGCAUUUCUAUAAUAUGCACAUAUAAAUUAACAUCAACUCAUGCAUUCAUUUGGCAUCUAUCUUUAUCAUGCAUUCUUAAUUAGCAUACUUUAUCAUGCAUUCUCAAAUAGCAUACUUUAAUCUUUAUCAUGCAUUCUUAAAUAGCAUACUUUAUCAUGCGUCAAUAGUAAACAUACUACACUUUAGCAUGGAAAGCGACCUAAUCGCUUCGGUGAGCACAACCCACCUCAUUUCGCAUUCCGAUUGCUUGUCGACACUUGCAAUCGGCCUCCCGCGGCACCCGUAACCCGGUUUGGCCCGAUCUCUCACGCGACCACCCGAACGGCCUCCAAUUCACGAUCCGAAAAUUAAAGGUCUUCGGUUAUGUGCCACGAAGCUUCAAAUCCAUUUUCAUGAAUUUACGAUAUCGCCUCGGCCCUCCCGGCGGACCCGAAGCCUAAACGUCCGUUUCUUUAAUAACUUCGCAACGGCUCGUCGGAUUGCCGAACCGUCUUCGCCAACGCGUUCGUUUACCUAGCAAUUAGGUUUAUAUAGGGUCAAUUUAGAUCAAACCCUUACAUUUUACAAAACCCCAUUCGGAGCCCUAAUAUGCUAUUAACCUCAAAAUAAUCCAAAAUUAAAUGGAUCAACAUGCUAACAAAGCUCAUUAGAGGCUAUUAGAAUACUUAAAGCUAAGGAUUAAGCCAAAUCCUAAAAGCUUACCUCAAUGUGAACGCCGCGACGACAACACACCGCUCCAACGGGCGCACGAAAGCUCAAUCCGUCGCCUCCAACGCGUUCGCAAGCAUAUUCUCCACCAACCCCGCGAAUUUGAGCGAGAAAUAUAGAGAAAUGAGAGAGAUCUCUAGAGAGAGAAAGGAGAGUUUCUCUCCUCUCUCCAUGUGUGCGUGAGGUGUGUGUGGGUGUGCACGGCUGAAGGAGGAAGAAGAAGCAUCAUGCUUCUAUUUAAUUACACCCCAACACUAUUCACCUCCAGGCAGCUUAAAAUCUGAUAACUUUCGCCGGAGCUCCCUGAAUCUCCGUUUGAGCUCAAACUUGACAGUCAUGUUCGGUUUUACUUAACUUAACAAGCUGACGAUCACUGGUUCAGUUUCGACCCCGUUUGGUCACUGAAAACUGUACCGAACUGCAAUCUUUAUCAGAUAGCUUUCGGAUUUUAUUUCUCACUCUAUGGGUGUCAGAAAAAUAUGAAACCUUAAAUCUAGCCUCAUAAAAAUAUUUCUGACAUCUCCG
rnacentral:lncRNA from 1 species